UACGUAGGGGGCAAGCGUUGUCCGGAAUCAUUGGGCGUAAAGCGCGCGUAGGCGGCCUCACAAGUCCGCUGUGAAAGUCAAAGGCUCAACCUUUGAAAGCCAGUGGAAACUGUGAGGCUAGAGUCCGGAAGAGGCGGGUGGAAUUCCUGGUGUAGCGGUGGAAUGCGCAGAUAUCAGGAGGAACACCAACGGCGAAGGCAGCUCGCUGGGACGGUACUGACGCUAAGGCGCGAAAGCGUGGGGAGCAAACAGG
rnacentral:rRNA from 1 species